AGGCACGGGAGCAAUCCUGGUGGCGAGUGGCGAACGGGUGAGUAAUAUAUCGGAACGUGCCCAGUCGUGGGGGAUAACGCAGCGAAAGCUGUGCUAAUACCGCAUACGAUCUACGGAUGAAAGCGGGGGAUCGCAAGACCUCGCGCGAUUGGAGCGCGCCGAUAUCAGAUUAGCUAGUUGGUGAGGUAAAGGCUCACCAAGGCGACGACGGAUAGCCGGCCUGAGUGGAGUGGCCGGCCACAGGGGCGCUGAGACACGGGUCCCACUCCUACGGGAGGCAGCAGUUAGGAAUCUUUCACAUAUGGCGCGAAAGCCUGAUGGAGCGACGCCGCGUGAGGGAUGAAGGUCUUCGGAUUG
rnacentral:rRNA from 1 species